AUUGAAUCAUAUGAAUCUAAGAAGCCGCGCCCUUCCCCCUUUGGGCGUUGCUUUAUUAACUGAAUUGCUGUGUGUAGUCUUUGCCUGUCAGCCCAUGAUAGGCUUUUUUUUUA
rnacentral:sRNA from 1 species